rnacentral:lncRNA from 1 species
UAACUUUUAAAAGUCUCCUAGUUUUCAUGCCCCUAAAAGUAGCCUGAAGGCGUACUACAGAUUGGUUAUACCUCUGAAAUUGUUUGUUUCUUGCCUUCACUGCUCGGUAUCUUUGCUGUACUAUUUUUGUUGCCUUCUUUAACUUAUUAAAAUACAUUUGCUGUCUGUAUCUUCUAUAGCAUGACUGAAUAAGUGUUGCUGCAACCUGCAUCUUUCUUAGAGUUUGUCUAACUCUUGCUCCUCUAAAACUUGCCUGAAGAGUAUUAACAGCCUUUAAAGUUGCCAGGUACUUUUCACGCUGAAUUUUACCUUGACAAUAUGCUCUGUAUCUUACUUGAAUUGCAACAGCUGCUCUUCUCAUUGCAUGGUAUCUUACUCUUGACUGAUACAUUUUAAACAUGGCUUUAAUUAAAGUGGCUGCAAAGUGCAUGUGUUGAAUAUGUCUUCUUACUCUAAUACCUCUAUAAACAGCUUGGAUUUUAAUUGCUGUCUUCUUUAAAUUAAGAUACUCCUUUUGUUGAUGGUUUGUAAUUUUGAUAUCUCGAUACCACCUCUGAAUUAUAAUAGCUGAAGCUCUGUAGAUUGCAU